GAUGAACGCUGGCGGCGUGCCUAAUACAUGCAAGUCGAGCGAACAGACGAGGAACUUCCUCCUCUGACGCUAGCGGCGGACCGGUGAGUAACACGUGGAUAACCUACCUAUAAAACUGGGAUAACUUCAGAAAACCGGAGCUACUACCGGCUAAUAUAUUGAACCGCAUGGUUCAAUAGUAAAAAACGGUUUUGCUGUCACUUAUAGAUGGAUACGCGCCGCAUUAGCUAGUUGGUAAGGUAACGGCUUGCCAAGGCGACGCUGCGUAGCCGACCUGAGAGGGAGGUCGGCCACACUGGAACUGAGACACGGUCCAGACUCCGACGGGAGGCAGCAGUAGGGAAUCUUCCGGAAUGGGCGAAAGCCGGACGGAGCAACGCCGCGUGAGUGAUGAAGGUCUUCGGAUCGUAAAACUCUGUUAUUAGGGAAGAACAAAUGUGUAAGUAACUAUGCACGUCUUGACGGUACCUAAGCAGAAAGCCACGGCUAACUACGUG
rnacentral:rRNA from 1 species